rnacentral:misc_RNA from 1 species
CUAUUAUGGUAUUCCGAAAGAGAAACCAACCGGCGCGAAGGAACCCAUAUUGGUGGUCUUACGUGAGUAAGCGAAAGGUGCGAUUUGCAUUAAGUUGACGAUUUUUGAAAAAUGUACGAUAUUUAAUUCUUAAAAAAAUAUGUGAUUCAUAGCUAAAAAUCUGGAAAAAACAAUAUUUGAAAGAUAUUUGAUCGUUAGGCGACGAUACCGUGUAAAAGGAGCGCGAAUAUGGGGCGUUUUUCGAUUUGUCAAGGACCUUUAACAGUGUUAAGUGUAUUUUUACUGUUCGGGGUUUUAUACGGUGAGGCUCAUGUCGCGUUAGUUUUCCCGGCAGCGAGAAAAUAUGAUUUGGACUUUUUGGAUAGCAGUAGAACGAAAGCUCCUUGCGGAAUGCCUAAAGGCAACGUCAAGACUUCACUACUUUCCGGAAGCAAGUUCAACGCGACAUGGCAUUUGGGGUAUCCCCAUAAGGGAGGCUUCAAACUGCAAUUACUCGAUGAGCUGGAACGGCCAGUCUUAGAUUUAACUCCCAGUUUUCAAGGGUCAGAAUUCGUUGCUGACGACCCGACUUCUCAAACUUAUCAAGUCCAACUACCUUCGAAUUUUACCUGUGAGAACUGCACCUUAAGGCUGAUAAGGCAAGCACUGGAAUGGGGCAAAGACUACAAAUUUUGGUCUUGUGCUGACGUGGAUAUAAAGCCCAGAAAAACUUACAGAGAAAACUGCAGCGGCCACGGGCGUUAUCUGCUAGGAAAGUGCAAAUGUGACCGGCUAUACUAUGGUCCUGUAUGCCAGUUUCGCGAUGAAUGUCUGGAAAAUAGCGACUGUGGGGCUCAGGGGGUUUGCGUUAAUGUGGAAGCGACGACCGCCCCCCAAAGGCAGUGCUAUUGUCAGAUGGGUUGGUUUGGACCAGGAUGUAAUAAAAGAUCUCCAGUUAAAUCUUCUAAAAUCGACUUCGAUUUAUAUACGGAACUCAAAUUAUCCAACACCUUCAAGCUUUAUUGGCGAAUUUUAAAGGAACACCGUGAAUUAGAAGCAGUUAUGGUCGUAAAUGGAACCAGUUAUGCUGCCCUGGGAUGGAGACCACGAAGUUUAACGAAAAGUUGCAAGAAUUUCCCAUUGAUAGGCUCCACUCAGUCAACAGAGCCUAAAGGAAGUGAACCUAAUGCAGAACCAAAAAGUGAGCCUGAGCCGUCUGCAGAACCACAGUCCCAUCCUGAACCUAGUUCUGAGCCAGAACCGUCAUCAGAACCGGAGCCAACGGUGCAGUCAGAUGAGCUUAGGAAAACGACUUUUAGGAGAUCAGCAGCGGUCAUGCCAACUCCCAGUGCCUACAGGGAUGUUGAAAAAGUAGAAACCAGUGUGUCCUUCCAAGUUAGCCAAAAAUCUGGACGAAAUCGCCGUCAAAUUAAACAAGGUGUCGGUGUUUACUUUUCUUUAGGGGAGGCCGAACCAGUACCCGAACCGACUGCUGAACCAGAACCUAACGUAGCAUUCACCUCAGAAUUAGAACCCGAACCAGAUUCCCAAUCUGAUACUACCACUCUCGUAUAUUCCUUUAGGCAUGCAAAAAUGCCUUCGAAUUUUAUUCCGAAAUCCGAAUCCGAGCCUAGUUCAGAACCUGAACCUAGCUCAGAGCCUGAACCUAGGUCUGAACCUGAACCUAUUUCUGAGCCUGAGCCCAAGUCAGAGCCUGAACCUAUUUCUGAACCUGAGCCUAAGUCGGAGCCUGAACCUAAAUCAGAGCCCGAGCCUAAUUCAGAACCCGAACCUAAAUCAGAGCCUGAACCAAACUCGGAACCAGAACCGAAUCCAAAUCCCGAACCUAAUUCGAACGGAAAAGCUAGUAUAAAAUCGCACUCUAGUUUAGAAGAAGCACCUAAUGGAGAUUCUAGGGAAAAUUUGAAUCCGUACACCCCUAGACACGAUUUUAACCCCAUGGACUGCACGGAUAUUAUUAUUGGAUCGGCUCGAGGUACCGCCAGUAGAAUCGGAGAUUACUACACUAGAGACAGAUCAACUCCUCGAAUGGAUAACUUUUGGGGAGGAAAGAACGACCUGACAGCGGCCGUUGGUUUCGAAAAAGACGGAAUUACGACCAUUUUAUUCCGUAAAAAACUGGAUGCUACAGAACCUUCAGAUCAUACCAUCGAGGAUGAUUUAAUGCAUAUCAUUUUUGCCCAAGGGCAAGAACAAGGGAAAUAUGUGCACGUACCCAAAUCGGGAGUUGAAACCCCACAGGCUUCUGUAAAAGACUUUUAUAGAGCUGAUGAGUUAAAGUAUCAUGGGCAUGGUGCUCAAAGAGGAGUGGUGUCUCUUAAUUUCUUUGAAGAGAAAAAAGUAGUUCAACCCGCUGGAGUAGCCGCCACCAGCGAAACCAGUCAAAAUACGGACUGCGGUGGCGAAUGGAAAUUGCCCAAGAGUUGUAAACCCGAAAAUUAUACUUGCGAAUAUUCGGUCAAAUGGGAAUUGCUGCCACGGAAAGAUGAAAUCAGGUUUACCAUAACCACAAACAAUACCGACACUUGGACCGGCAUCGCCUUCUCAGACGAUGAAAAAAUGUCCCAAACGGACGCCAUUUUAGGAUGGGUGGACAAAACUGGAAGGCCGUUCCUUAUGGACACCUGGAUAACCGGAUACACCCAACCGUUCUUAGAUGCCAGUCAAAAUAUUUAUAACACAAGCGGUAGAAUAACCGAUGGGGUGACCACCUUAUCAUUUUCGCGAAAACGGAACACGAAUGAUCCUAAAGAUUUGGCUUUUACUGAUUCGAAUUGUCUCUUUAUGAUGUUCCCAGUGAAGGGCGGAGCUUUUAAUAGCGUUAACAAGAAGAUUAGGAAGCAUGAGGUGCUACCGGCGAUUAGUACUGAGAGGAUUUGCAUAAGAUCAUGCGGAAAUGAUGAAAUAUAUGAUAUACAAACAACUACGGAAUCCCCUGGUAUUGAAUAUAUGGUUAAAGUGAAACUGGUUGAGCUAGGGGAGAACUUCGUGGCACCCAAACCAGGCACUAUCGAAUAUGAGGAUUUGAGUAAAUCGGUUUUAAAUAAUUUUGAACCAGUAUUUAGAUCCGUACCUGGAUAUAGAAGGCUAAUUAUUGAUAACCUCCAGAACGAAGACAAUAAGAUCGUCUCGGUAAUCAACCUGCAACUAGACAAAGCGAUGGCAGAAAAAGCCAGAUCACUAUCCGAUGACGAAGACAUCGACGAAAAAGUUCACAAAAUAAUCCAGGAAAGCGUCGGCGCUGGACGAAUCGGUAACCUAAAAGUCGAUCCUCAAUAUCUGGUCUUUGAGCCGCAAAGCUUAACAUCCAAUAUUGUCUCCGACUCUGAGAGUUCAACUCGGGUAACGUCUGGAUUCUUCGAUAUGCCUAUAACGAAACUUUACAUUGUAGUGGGUUGUAUAGGUGCCUUGGUGCUAGUGGCAUUAGUACAGGCGGGCUGUACGAUAUACAGAGCUACGGGAAAAAGAAACAGCAAUCGACAUAAGGUAACUUCUUUAUGAUGAUGGCAUGCACGAUGGAAUCCUCUUCAACCCUACUAUGUCUGUUCUGCAUAUAGUUAACGACAACUUAAUCCCCAACUCCGCCUGGAAAGACUACUCGGCCAACACAAACUACGCGUACGACUCCUCCUUAGAAAGAGAAACGGCACAAAAAAAGCAACAGCACCAAAAUGGAAACGAACGUGGGGCGCCGCCCCAGGG